AUGUUGCUGUCGUCUUGACUUCCAUCAUCAGCAUCAUUUUCAGCGAGAUGUAAAUGGCGCAUGUAAUUCCAAUCAGUCCCAACAUCCUAAGGGUCUUGAGGGUACUCAGACUAACACGAGUGUUGAAGGUCAAGAUGACAAGAGUUUCAUAUCUAUGGGGAUAAUAUUCUUCCAUAUACACAUGUGUGCAACCAAGCACUCGAUCCCGAGUUCACAAACCCCGCAGUGAAUAAUAAAGAAGCCUUUGCAGAUAGCAAAAUCGAAACAAGCCAGAUAUGCAAGAUAUAAUUUCCUCAUCAGCGCCUCCUGCUGAUCGUUGCCUGGAACAUGCACCUCCACUACAGCUUCCCCAUCUUGUACGAUACACCGCAGAGAAAGGCAUCGAAGAAAUCACUUCUACAUGGGAAUCAGAGAAGAGGAAGUUGAAGUGGACUGGGAUAUCUGUGUGCACA